rnacentral:rRNA from 1 species
AGUGAACGCUGGCGGUAGGCCUAACACAUGCAAGUCGAACGGCAGCACAGUAAGAGCUUGCUCUUACGGGUGGCGAGUGGCGGACGGGUGAGGAAUACAUCGGAAUCUACUUUUUCGUGGGGGAUAACGUAGGGGAACUUACGCUAAUACCGCAUACGACCUACGGGUGAAAGCAGGGGAUAUUCGCACCUUGCGCGAUUGAAUGAGCCGAUGUCGGAGUAGCUAGUUGGCGGGGUAAAGGCCCACCAAGGCGACGAUCCGUAGCUGGUCUGAGAGGAUGGUCGGCCACACUGGAACUGGGACACGGUCCAGACUCCUACGGGAGGCAGCAGUGGGGAAUAUUGGACAAUGGGCGCAAGCCUGAUCCAGCCAUACCGCGUGGGUGAAGAAGGCCUUCGGGUUGUAAAGCCCUUUUGUUGGGAAAGAAAAGCAGCAGGUUAAUACCCCGCGGUUCUGACGGUACCCAAAGAAUAAGCACCGGCUAACUUCGUG